GUGCGCAGUUAGGUUUUGGCCCAAUUCUCAAUAGAGAAUUGGGAGGAAAGUCCGGACAGCAGAACACCGGGUGCCUGGUGAAAGCCAGGGAGCUGGUUUGCAGUAAUGCAGAUUAGUGCCAGUUUAGAGCCGCAGUGACGAAUCGGGUGGCGCCGAGUGAAACGACCAAGCUACUGGGUGUCUUGACUUGCAAAAGUUAAGAUGGCAAUCCUCCCCGCUGCAACAAGCGAUUUUGACCUUAAUGAUGGUGUUCUCUAUUGCCUUGGUUUACCAAGGCGAGGCCAUAAUGACUUGGCAUAGAUAGAUCAAAGCCCCCGACAGAAUCCGGCUUAUCGACUGCGCACCGUU
rnacentral:RNase_P_RNA from 1 species